UGCAGUCGAACGGUGAUAGUAAUAUCAUAGUGGCGCACGGGUGCGUAACACGUAUGCAACCUACCUUAUACUAGGGGAUAGCCUUUGGAAACGGAGAUUAAUACCCCAUAAUAUAUAUUUGUGGCAUCAUGGAUAUAUUAAAGAUUUAUCGGUAUAAGUUGGGCAUGCGUCCAAUUAGUUAGUUGGCGGGGUAACGGCUCACCAAGACGAUGAUUGGUAGGGGAACUGAGAGGUUAAUCCCCCACACUGGCACUGAGAUACGGGCCAGACUCCUACGGGAGGCAGCAGUAGGGAAUAUUGGGCAAUGGAGGCAACUCUGACCCAGCCAUGCCGCGUGCAGGAAGAAGGCGUUAUGCGUUGUAAACUGCUUUUAUAUAGGAAGAAAGAGUUUCUGCGGGAACAGUUGACGGUACUAUAUGAAUAAGCACCGGCUAACUCCGUGCCAGCAGCCGCGGUAAUACGGAGGGUGCAAGCGUUGUCCGGAUUUAUUGGGUUUAAAGGGUGCGUAGGCGGUUUAUUAAGUCAGUGGUGAAAGACGGUCGCUCAACGAUUGCAGUGCCAUUGAUACUGGUAGACUUGAGUGGGAUUGAGGUAGCUGGAAUGGAUAGUGUAGCGGUGAAAUGCAUAGAUAUUAUCCAGAACACCAAUUGCGUAGGCAAGUUACUAAGUCUCAACUGACGCUGAG
rnacentral:rRNA from 1 species